rnacentral:rRNA from 1 species
CGCCUAAUAAUGGCCGCCCGUUUUGUCUUGUUCUUUGCCACCGAGACCGAAACCGAUCGCCCGAGUCCCAUUCCCACCCCCACCCCUCCAAUACCACACCGUCAUCGUCAUCGUCAUCGUCAUCGGCCCUCCUCCUCCUCUCUGCGCGAUCCUAUUGAACCUCCCCCGUUCGUACGUCUUCCGCGAGAGAGAGAGAGAGAGAGAGAGAGAGAGAGAGAGGCGAGUGGAGAAGGGAGUCGAGGAGAUGGCGGCGGCGGUGAGGGUGGAGAAGGCGACGAGCGACCUGCUGCUGGGGCCCGACUGGACCCUCAACAUCGACAUCUGCGACGGCGUCAACUCCGAUCACGGGCAAGCAAAGGAGGUGAUUAAAACUCUGAAGAAGCGUCUUCAACACAAGAAUUCAUCAGUUCAGUCUCUUGCAUUGACGCUGUUGGAGACUCUGGUGAAAAAUUGUGGGGAUCAUGUGCAUUUUCUGGUUGUAGAGCGCGGUAUAUUGCAAGAAAUGGUCAAACUUGCCAAGAAAAAGGCAAAUGUGCAAGUGAGGGACAAAAUUUUGACACUCCUUGAUUCUUGGCAAGAAGCAUUUGGUGGGCCUGGUGGGAAGCACCCUCAGUUCUACUGGGCAUAUUCUGAACUUAAGCAAUCUGGUUUAGAAUUUCCUAGGCGCUCACCUGAGGCAGCAACAAUAUUCGCCCCUCACCUUCAACCAGGGAUCGGGAGUCCAGCCAAUUCAUCCUUGAGAGCUGAUGGGAUGAUUUCAUCAAGUGGCUCUCCUCUGAGUUUGUCAGAUUUGCAACGAAUUUUAAGUGCCGCGGAGCUACUAAGUGAGAUGCUGAGAGAAGUGGAUCCAAAUGAUCAUGAGGCUGUGAAUGAUGAAAUUAUCGCGGAACUUGUGAACCAAUGCCGGUCAUACCAGAAAAAGAUCAUGAGUUUGGUUAGUUCAGUGAGUGAUGAGGACCUCUUGAGCCAAAGUCUCGACUUAAACGACAGAUUGCAAAUUCUGCUUUCCAAACACGAUGCAAUUGCAUCAGGUUCCCCUCUACCGGGUGAAGAAACGGAUGUGUUGAGUGAGUUGCCCAGAGGGAUCACUACAACCCCUGCAGCAACAGUUGUUCCCGAAACUGCCAUUGUACCAACUUUUGUCUUGGAUGAUGAAGAGGAAGAGGAGGAAGAUGAUGAGAAUUCGAGAUUCAGGUCAGCAAAUGAGAAGAGCGCCUCUUCAGGUGUAGGCGCAUCAUCGUCGUCCACGCAGGAUGGAACAGCAAGCUCAGCAGCUUCUGUGACCACUACAUCAUCACCAUCUACUUCAAGCAGUGCAUUAGCAUUGCCUGAUCAUCUAGCUCCUAUAAGGACUUCUCCAGAAGACAAGAUUAUGAGCGACCUCCUUGCGCUCACCAUAGUGUCAAGCCCAUCACCUGAACCUGCCUUGCAUCCUGGUGGUUCCCCAACCAGUUAUCAUCCACAGCCUCAUUAUGCAGACCCACAACACACAGCUGCAGCGCACAACAGCUACGUCGCUCCUUGGGCUCAGCAUCAACCUCAAACUGCACCCAUUAAGCAGCAGCAGCAGCAGCACCAACCACCACCUCAACCACAAUUUUCUUACAACCCAUCUCCUUACCCGCCACCACCAUGGGCCCCUCAGGACAACACCGAGUCAAACCCUUUCGUGGCAUCUUCAUCGCAGCGACUUUCUACUUCUAACUCGCCUCUUAAAGUACCGCCGAACAUGAGGCCCCUACAGCAAUCGCAAUCUUUUGGCGUACCGCUUCGAAGUGCCGCGUCAGAUUCACCGACAAACAAGAGCCUGAAGCAACCCAUGUCUGCAGGGUCUCGCCGACCGUCUUAUGUUCCUUCUAACAAGUUCUUUGAUGAUCUGCUUGAGAGAAAUGCGGAUGGUACUCUGAAAACGAGCAGUGGGGUAAUUGGAGGCACAUCCAGUCCAUACAAACCGUAGUGAUGCUAGUGGAAUCAAUAUACAGUAUGAAGGAAUAUCUGUCCUGUGGUUCAUACAAACCAAUAAACCGUAGUGAUGACAGCGGAAUCAAAAUACUAUGAAAGACUUUGCAUUGUUUGUCUUGAUAACUGCUACAAUUUCAAAAAUACGAGCCAAUAAACCAUGGUGAUGCCAGUGGAAUCAAAAUAUGAAAUUUUGCAUUGUUUGUCUUGAUGACUGCUGUGAUUCCAUUUGGCCCGCAAACUUUGUUGCCUUGAUUGGUUUGCUUGAUGCUUCUGGGUACCAUUAUUAGUAAUUUAUGCGAAAACAGAGCAUGUGAAACCCCCAAUCUUAUUUGUUGUGGAGUUAAAAUUGAUUGUGCACU